CUCUUGUCACACAGGACUGAGGUCUCUGGGGAAAGCAGGGCUGUGGUCUAGAAGAUGAGACUGUUGUGUGUUCUCCUGUGCCUGAUGACAGCUCCCCAAGGUGUCCUGUCCCAGGUACAGCUGCAGGAGUCAGGACCUGGCCUGGUUAAGCCCUCACAGACACUGUCCCUCACUUGUGCUGUCUCUGGAUUCUCCAUCACAACCAGUGGUUACUGUUGGGCAUGGAUCCGGCAGCCCAAAGGGAAGGGCCUGGAGUGGAUGGGAGAGAUAUGUUAUGAUGGUAACACUUCCUACAGCUCAUCCCUCAAGAGCCGCAUCUCCAUCUCCAGAGACACAUCCAAGAGCCAGUACUCCCUGCAGCUGAGCUCUGUGACCACAGAGGACACAGCUGUGUAUUACUGUGCCAGAAACACAGUGAUGGGACCUCAGUGUGAUCUCUGA